CUUCUGUAUCUUGAAGUAAUCCCUUUUUGUGGCAUUUUUAUAGAGCAGUUACUGUAUAGAAAUCUCAUGAAAUCAUGCUGUACAAAUAUCCACUUUUGUUUUUCAGUGAUCAUGAUAACCUUCUUUAUGAGACAAUGUUGAACCUGCCUAUUAUAAACAGGGCUAAUAGUAUAGGUAAGAAGUAUGUUUUCAGAGAGGGGAAAAAAAGGUAAGAAGUUAGUAAUGGGCUUUCAUAGUGUCACUUAAAUAUUAGUGAAAGUUUCAAUCCCAUUAAAAAGAUAACCUUUUUUAUGAGAUAUUGUUGAACUUGCCUAUCAUAAACAGUGGUGACAAUAGUGUAGGUAAUAAGUAUGUUUGCAGAGAAGGGAAAAAAAUGCAAGAAGUUUGUAAUGAGCUUUCAUAGAGUCACUUAUUAAGACUAUGACGAAGUCCUUUGAAGUCACGGAUUUACCAGUUCGCUCAGCAAAAUUUAUUGCACGUAAACAAUGGGUUGUCGCUGGAGCUGAUGACAUGCAUAUCCGGGUAUACAAUUACAACACGAUGGAUAAAGUCAAAGUAUUUGAAGCACACACGGACUACAUCAGAUGCGUGGCUGUCCAUCCAACUCUUCCUUAUGUGUUAUCAUCAUCUGAUGACAUGCUUAUCAAGCUUUGGGACUGGGAGAAAGGUUGGAUGUGUACCCAAAUAUUUGAGGGCCACUCCCACUACGUCAUGCAAGUGACUUUUAAUCCAAAAGACACCAACACUUUCGCGAGUGCCUCUCUAGAUCGCACGAUAAAGAUUUGGAAUCUUGGCUCUCCCGACCCAAAUUUUACCUUGGAUGCCCAUUUGAAAGGAGUAAACUGUGUCGAUUACUACACCGGGGGUGAUAAGCCGUACCUAAUCACUGGUUCUGAUGAUCAUACUGCUAAGGUGUGGGAUUACCAAACAAAAAGUUGCAUUCAGACACUUGAAGGUCACACACACAAUGUUUCUGCUGUUUGUUUCCAUCCUGAACUUCCAAUUAUAAUCACCGGUUCUGAGGAUGGUACUGUUAGGAUAUGGCAUGCAACCACAUAUAGGCUUGAGAACACAUUGAAUUACGGUCUUGAGCGAGUGUGGGCAGUUGGAUACAUGAAAAGUUCGCGGAGGGUUGUAAUUGGAUGCGAUGAAGGAACCAUCAUGAUUAAAAUUGGUAAAGAAGUACCAGUUGCUAGUAUGGAUAGUAGUGGAAAAAUCAUAUGGGCCAAGCAUAAUGAGGUUCAAACUGUGAAUAUUAAAAGUGUUGGAGCAGAUUACGAGAUCACUGAUGGAGAGCGAUUACCUUUGGCUGUAAAAGAGUUGGGGAGCUGUGAUCUUUACCCUCAAAGCUUAAAGCACAAUCCGAAUGGGAGGUUUGUCGUUGUAUGCGGGGAUGGCGAGUACAUUAUAUAUACCGCUUUGGCAUGGAGAAAUAGAUCCUUUGGAUCUGCAUUAGAGUUUGUGUGGUCAACUGAUGGAGAAUAUGCUGUCAAAGAAAGUACUUCAAGGAUUAAGAUAUUCAGUAAAACUUUCCAGGAAAGGAAAAGCAUAAGACCAACUUUUUCUGCUGAACGCAUUUUUGGGGGAACCUUGCUAGCAAUGUGUUCGAACGACUUUAUAUGUUUUUACGAUUGGGCUGAGUGCAGGUUGAUUCGUCGAAUUGAUGUCAAUGUCAAAAAUCUUUAUUGGGCUGAUAGUGGUGAUUUGGUGACAAUUACCAGUGACACAUCAUUUUACAUGCUGAAGUACCAUCGGGACGUUGUUGCAAAUUUUUUGGAUACCGGAGGAGAAAUUGGUGAGGAGGGUGUUGAAGAUGCUUUUGAGCUUCUCAAUGAAGUAAAUGAGCGAGUUCGAACAGGGUUAUGGGUUGGAGACUGUUUUAUCUAUAAUAACUCUUCAUGGCGACUUAACUACUGUGUUGGUGGUGAGGUGACAACUAUGUUUCAUCUGGACCGGCCAAUGUACUUGUUGGGAUAUCUUGCAAACCAAAGUCGUGUAUAUCUAAUAGAUAAGGAGUUCAAUGUUAUUGGAUACACAUUACUUCUAAGCUUGAUUGAGUACAAGACUCUUGUGAUGCGUGGAGAUUUGGAGAGGGCAAGUGAAGUUUUACCCUCAAUUCCUAGGGAGCAUCUUAAUAGUGUGGCUCGUUUCUUGGAAUCUCGAGAAAUGUUGGAAGAUGCGUUGGAAGUGGCUACAGAUCCUAAUUAUAGAUUCGAUCUAGCUAUACAGCUUGGAAGAUUAGAGGUUGCAAAGGCAAUAGCCGCAGAAGUAAAGGGUGAAUCCAAAUGGAAACAAUUGGGAGAACUAGCAAUGUCCAGUGGAAAGUUAGGAAUGGCUGAAGAGUGCUUACGAAAUGCAAAGGAUCUGAGCGGUUUGUUGCUUAUAUACUCUUCACUUGGAGAUGCUGAAGGAAUCCAAGAACUUGCAUCUCUUGCCAAAGAACAGGGAAAAAACAAUGUUGCUUUUCUUUGUUUAUUCAUGCUGGGAAAAGUGGAAGAGUGUCUCCAACUGUUGGUGGAUAGCAACCGGAUUCCUGAAGCUGCUUUGAUGGCGCGGUCUUAUCUUCCAAGCAAGGUCUCAGAGAUAGUAGCACUUUGGAGAAACAACCUCAAUAAGGUUAACCAGAAAGCUGCUGAAUCUUUAGCUGACCCUGAGGAGUACCCUAACUUAUUCGAGGAUUGGCAGGUUGCUCUAUCCGUGGAAUCUAAAAUUUCUGAGAUAAGAGGAAUUCAUCCUCCUGCUGCAGACUAUCUAAGCUACAUAGAGAAAUCAAAUAUCAACCUUAUGGAGGCUUUCAAAACAAUGCAACUUGAUGAAGAGGAGGAGGCGCCACUUGAAAAUGGUGAUUUGGCUCACGAGGAGGUAGAAGAGAACGGAGAAGAACAUGAAGAGCAGGGAACCCAGGAAGAAGAGGCUGUUGAGGUCGAUGCUGAUUCUACAGAUGGCGCUGUUCUUGUAAACAGUAAUGAAACUGAAGAAGAGUGGGGUACGAAUAAUGAAGGAACCUCGUCAGCCUAAAAGCAAUUGGUUGGGCAAGUCUGAAAAUCCAAUUUUUGUUUCUGUUCUGGCGCCACGUUACUAGGGUCCAAUCAAAGACAGCGGGUUCCAGCUGUUAUACACUCUCUCUCAAGGUUAGUUCUUUGAGUGAGGAUUAGUUAAGACCAUCAAGGGAUCAGCUGUCGAAGAUGGGUUGUUUAGAUGUGGACACAAUUUUUUUUGUCAAAAUUAAAAUGAGGCGUAUAUUAAAGAACAGUUUACCAACACAAAAUUGUUAAUGGUUUCUCUAAUAUCUUAUUCUUGUAGGUUUCAUAUAUUCUGUCCUCGUCACUUUUUUCUUCUAUUUUAUUUUUAGCUUUCCUUGUAGAAUCUGAGAGCAACGGUGGAGAUAUGUAAUGUUAGGGAGGUUGAUUGUCUGUUCAGUUUUCAAUUUUGUUGUCUUUUUUUGUUUCUUUAUUUGUUGGCGGACAUAUUUUAAUGAUAUAUAGAAGUGAGGAUGCUUGAUUUCAGUUUUUCUUUUA